rnacentral:rRNA from 1 species
UACGUAGGUGGCAAGCGUUGUCCGGAAUUACUGGGUGUAAAGGGCGUGUAGGCGGGAUAGCAAGUCAGAUGUGAAAUUCCGGGGCUCAACCCCGGCGCUGCAUCUGAAACUGUUAUUCUUGAGUGUCGGAGAGGAAAGUGGAAUUCCCAGUGUAGCGGUGAAAUGCGUAGAGAUUGGGAGGAACACCAGUGGCGAAGGCGGCUUUCUGGACGAUAACUGACGCCGAGGCGCGAAAGCGUGGGGAGCAAACAGG